rnacentral:rRNA from 1 species
AGUGAACGCUGGCGGUAGGCCUAACACAUGCAAGUCGAACGGCAGCACAGUAAGAGCUUGCUCUUACGGGUGGCGAGUGGCGGACGGGUGAGGAAUACAUCGGAAUCUACUUUUUCGUGGGGGAUAACGUAGGGAAACUUACGCUAAUACCGCAUACGACCUACGGGUGAAAGCAGGGGAUCUUCGGACCUUGCGCGAUUGAAUGAGCCGAUGUCGGAUUAGCUAGUUGGCGGGGUAAAGGCCCACCAAGGCGACGAUCCGUAGCUGGUCUGUGAGGAUGAUCAGCCGCACUGGAACUGAGACACGGUCCAGACUCCUACGGGAGGCAGCAGUGAGGAAUAUUGGACAAUGGGCGCAAGCCUGAUCCAGCCAUACCGCGUGGGAGAAGAAGGCCUUCGGGUUGUAAAGCCCUUUUGUUGGGAAAGAAAAGCAGCAGGUUAAUACCCCGCUGUUCUGACGGUACCCAAAGAAUAAGCACCGGCUAACUUCGUG